rnacentral:rRNA from 1 species
UACGUAGGCAGCGAGCGUUGUUCGGAGUUACUGGGCGUAAAGGGUGUGUAGGCGGUUUUCUAAGUCUGGUGUGAAAUCUCCCGGCUCAACCGGGAGGGUGCGCCGAAAACUGGGAGACUAGAGUGCGGGAUGGGAGAGUAGAAUUCCUGGUGUAGCGGUGAAAUGCGUAGAUAUCAGGAGGAAUACCGGUGGCGAAGGCGGAUCUCUGGGCCAUUACUGACGCUGAGGAGCGAAAGCGUGGGGAGCGAACAGG